GACGAACGCUGGCGGCGUGCCUAAUACAUGCAAGUAGAACGCUGAAGAGAGGAGCUUGCUCUUCUUGGAUGAGUUGCGAACGGGUGAGUAACGCGUAGGUAACCUGCCUUGUAGCGGGGGAUAACUAUUGGAAACGAUAGCUAAUACCGCAUAACAAUGGAUGACACAUGUCAUUUAUUUGAAAGGGGCAAUUGCUCCACUACAAGAUGGACCUGCGUUGUAUUAGCUAGUAGGUGAGGUAAUGGCUCACCUAGGCGACGAUACAUAGCCGACCUGAGAGGGUGGUCGGCCACCCUGGGACGGAGACAGGGCCCAGACUCCUACGGGAGGCAGCCGUAGGGAAUCUUCGGCAAUGGGGGCAACCCUGACCGAGCAACGCCGCGUGAGUGAAGAAGGUUGUCGGAUCGUAAAGCUCUGUUGUAAGUCAAGAACGGGUGUGAGAGUGGAAAGUUCACACUGUGACGGUAGCUUACCAGAAAGGGACGGCUAACUACGUG
rnacentral:rRNA from 1 species